AUUGAACGCUGGCGGCAGGCUUAACACAUGCAAGUCGAGCGGGGUGAUGGUGCUUGCACUAUCACUUAGCGGCGGACGGGUGAGUAAUGCUUAGGAAUCUGCCUAUUAGUGGGGGACAACAUCUCGAAAGGGAUGCUAAUACCGCAUACGUCCUACGGGAGAAAGCAGGGGAUCACUUGUGACCUUGCGCUAAUAGAUGAGCCUAAGUCGGAUUAGCUAGUUGGUGGGGUAAAGGCCUACCAAGGCGACGAUCUGUAGCGGGUCUGAGAGGAUGAUCCGCCACACUGGGACUGAGACACGGCCCAGACUCCUACUGGAAGCAGCAGUGGGGAAUAUUGGACAAUGGGGGGGGCCCUGAGCCAGCCAUGCCGCGUGUGUGAAGAAGGCCUUAUGGUUGUAAAGCACUUUAAGCGAGGAGGAGGCUCUUUUGGUUAAUACCCAAGAUGAGUGGACGUUACUCGCAGAAUAAGCACCGGCUAACUCUGUGCCAGCCGCCGCCGUAA
rnacentral:rRNA from 1 species